rnacentral:rRNA from 1 species
UGGGGAAUAUUGGACAAUGGGGACAACCCUGAUCCAGCCAUGCCGCGUGUGUGAAGAAGGCCUUUUGGUUGUAAAGCACUUUAAGCAGGGAGGAGAGGCUAAUGGUUAAUACCCAUUAGAUUAGACGUUACCUGCAGAAUAAGCACCGGCUAACUCUGUGCCAGCAGCCGCGGUAAUACAGAGGGUGCGAGCGUUAAUCGGAAUUACUGGGCGUAAAGCGAGUGUAGGUGGCUCAUUAAGUCACAUGUGAAAUCCCCGGGCUUAACCUGGGAACUGCAUGUGAUACUGGUGGUGCUAGAAUAUGUGAGAGGGAAGUAGAAUUCCAGGUGUAGCGGUGAAAUGCGUAGAGAUCUGGAGGAAUACCGAUGGCGAAGGCAGCUUCCUGGCAUAAUAUUGACACUGAGAUUCGAAAGCGUGGGCAGCAAACAGGAUUAGAUACCCUGGUAGUCCACGCCGUAAACGAUGUCUACUAGCCGUUGGGGUCCUUGAGACUUUAGUGGCGCAGUUAACGCGAUAAGUAGACCGCCUGGGGAGUACGGCCG